GGGUCGUUAGCUCAGUACGGUAGAGCAGGGGCCUUUUAAGCCCAGGGCCACAGGUUCGAAUCCUGUACGACCCACC
rnacentral:tRNA from 1 species